UACGUAGGGUGCAAGCGUUAUCCGGAAUUAUUGGGCGUAAAGAGCUCGUAGGCGGUCUGUCGCGUCUGCUGUGAAAACUGGGGGCUCAACCCCCAGCCUGCAGUGGGUACGGGCAGGCUUGAGUUCGGUAGGGGAGACUGGAAUUCCUGGUGUAGCGGUGAAAUGCGCAGAUAUCAGGAGGAACACCGGUGGCGAAGGCGGGCUCUGGGCCGAUACUGACGCUGAGGAGCGAAAGCGUGGGGAGCGAACAGG
rnacentral:rRNA from 1 species